rnacentral:lncRNA from 1 species
AUUAGGGCCAUUAUGGUUAGGCAAGGAAAGAGUCUUCUCUUUCUUUGAAGGAGCUUUGCUCUGUGGGCAUUAGGAUAUUCAUCCUAUUGCAUUUAUCUUUCAUUUUAAUAUAAUAAUAAUACACUAUUUUCAUUAUUCCUGUUUUUAAUCCUUUUCUUCAAUAUUUUAUAAGUUGCGAAAUUUCCGGUUCGCAACAAUGGUCCGACCUGCCGGAUUUACGAUGGUUGAGCCAGUGAAGACAACGGAAGCUAGGGUCGAAGCUCUCCAAGGAGAAAUUUCUGAGGUCCGAGCAACACUUGUUGAUGUUCAGAAAGCAAUGAAGGAGAGCCACACGAGUUUAAUCGCGAUGAUGGAAAAGUGUUUUGGUAAGUCUGUGGUGGAGGAAGAAGGUGCCAGUGUGGUCGCUAACACGACGGCGGUGCU